UACAGAGGGGGCGAGCGUUAUUCGGAAUUAUUGGGCGUAAAGGGCGCGUAGGCGGCCUUUCAAGUGACGGGUGAAAUCCCUCGGCUUAACCGAGGAACUGCCUGUCAGACUGGAAGGCUUGAGACCGGGAGAGGUGAGUGGAAUUCCCAGUGUAGCGGUGAAAUGCGUAGAUAUUGGGAGGAACACCAGUGGCGAAGGCGGCUCGCUGGGCCAUUCCUGACGCUGAGACGCGAAAGCUAGGGGAGCGAACAGG
rnacentral:rRNA from 1 species